AUGCCAGAUCUGAGCACCGUCUGUCCCGAACUGUCUGCCGACGCCGCCGUGGACCUAGUGGGCGGGGAUGCGGCCGCUGACCCCGCGACGGCAGCGGCGGCGGCGGCGACGGAAUCCUCCUCCGGCGGCGAUGGCGCUCCCAUUAUCCCUGUGGAGUGCCGUUGGAGCGGCCGCGUGCGCGCCUUUGACGUCCAGGGCGCGGUCCCUGUGACCGCCUGCCCCGAGGCGCGCCGCGGCGGCGAGAGGAGGUCGUCCAUUGUUCCGCUCCCUUCGUCCGCGGCGGCGUCACUCGCCCCGUUAUCGGGUUGGGUGCUCGAGGACUAUGUGAACGAGGGCGUGAUCGCUGUCACUGCCGGCGCGGAGGCGCGCAGAGGAGGCGGCCGGAAGAACUCGUCCUCUGCCCCGCUGCCUCCGUCCGCAGCGGCACCAGCGCCGGCAUCUGGUCGGGCACUCGAGGAAUAUGUGAACGCCGACGUGGCCUCUCUCGCCGCCUCUCCUGAAGCGCACCACGGCGGCGGUAAGGACUCCUCUGCCCCGUUGCAUUCUGCCGCCACGGCCGUACAUGCGCCAGCACCGGGUGUGAAGCUCGAAGAUUAUGUGAACGUGUGUGCGGUCUCUGCCACUCCAUAUCUUGAGGCGCGCCGCAGUGGCGGAAAGAAGCCGGAUCUGAUGCUAGAGGACUAUGUGAACAAGGGUGUGGUUUCUAUCACAGCCCACCCUGAGGUGCGCCGCGGCAGCGGGAAGAGGUCGUCUUCGACUCGUUCGCCUUUAUCUCCGGCAGCAACGGUGCUGGCGCUGGCAUCGGGUCGGUCACUCAAGGACUAUGUGAAGGAGUGGGAGGCGAGGAAGGUGGCGUCAGGUGCCUCCCUGCAGCAUUGUGUGCUGCCAUUCCUCACUGGUGCGCCCAAGGCGGUUGAAUGUCGUGUAUGCUAUAAGAUUAUCCAUCCCUCGGAAGAAAUAAAAUGUUCAGUUAGCCGUUGUGAACAAAUGUUUCAUCUGACCUGUGUGGUGGAAUAUACUGCAAAUUUCACUGCUGAAAGCUUCAGGUGCCCUCAGCAUGGUUGCAUGGUUUGUAAGCAAAAAAUGUUUUUUUGGCGCUGUGGACGUUGUACAGUUGCAGCACAUACAAAAUGUGCACCAUGGCCUCUAAUUCAUCUAAAAGAUGACCAAGGAAGUGCAAUUUGCUGGAGGCACCCUUCCAAUUGGCUCCUUCAAAAUGAGAAUGCUGACCUGACAAACAACAUAGAGGAAGUCUUCUGCCGACUACCUCUUCCAUAUGUUAAUGAAGAAUUCAAUAUUGAUUCAACCAUUAGGAAUUUCACGGCAAUUGUUUGUAAACCGCCCUCCUACACACAUAUCAGGCGCAAUGUAUAUUUAGUCAAGAAGAAACGCGCCGAUUCGAGUGCCGAGACUGGGUGCACAAAUUGCAAAUCGGAUUCUGUUUGCAAAGAUGAUUGUGAAUGCAGGGGUCUUUCUAUGAGUUGUUCCAAGAGUUGCCACUGUUCAGAUCUGUGUAGCAACAAGCCAUUCCGCAAGGAUAAGAAAAUUAAAAUUGUCAAGUCAGAAGGCUGUGGAUGGGGUGCUGUUGCAUUGGAGCCAUUGGAGAAAGGUGAUUUCAUAAUUGAGUAUGUGGGUGAAGUCAUCAAUGAUGCAACAUGUGAACAACGGCUUUGGGACAUGAAGCGGCGUGGGGACAAAAAUUUCUACAUGUGUGAAAUCAGCAAAGAUUUUACAAUAGAUGCAACUUUUAAAGGAAACACUUCACGUUUUCUAAACCAUAGUUGUGAUCCCAACUGUAAACUAGAAAAGUGGCAAGUUGAGGGUGAGACAAGAGUUGGUGUUUUUGCCUCUCGUUUCAUUGAAGUUGGAGAGCCCUUAACUUAUGACUACAGGUUUGUGCAUUUUGGAGAGAAGGUUAAGUGCCAUUGCGGAGCAAAGAGUUGCCAAGGAUACUUGGGCAGCCAACUAAAGAAUCCAACACAGAACGCUCUUGCGGCUGCGGCGCUUGAGAAUAAGUUGCUCGUGCAACAGGGCGGCUGCUCUCCUUCAAGGGUGAAAACAGAGACUCGCCUGUUACCCUGGACCAACUGUAUAGAGGUUCCCUUUAACUUGAGGAGCAAAACGAAGAUAGACCGGAUAUGUUGGGGACAGAAACGGCAGCGGACGUCCCUUUUAGAUCCAUCGUCAUCUUCAGCUAGCGUGCAGCCAUCAGAUAUUGAAGCUGGUGCAUUCAUUCUAUAG
rnacentral:rRNA from 1 species